UACGUAGGGCGCAAGCGUUGUCCGGAAUUAUUGGGCGUAAAGAGCGCGCAGGCGGUCGGAUAAGUCGAAUGUGAAAGCCCCCGGCUUAACUGGGGAGGGUCAUUCGAUACUGUUCGACUGGAAGGCAGGAGAGGGAAGUGGAAUUCCCGGUGUAGUGGUGAAAUGCGUAGAUAUCGGGAGGAACACCAGUGGCGAAGGCGACUUCCUGGCCUGUUCUUGACGCUGAGGCGCGAAAGCUAGGGGAGCAAACGGG
rnacentral:rRNA from 1 species